GGAGACUGAACCAAGGAGACAGGAGAUGAAGAUUCCUCCAUGAACCAUUACAUUGGCCACAGAGAUGGGUCCAUGACAAAAUUUGUGUCAACACUUGUCAAUCCUAGGGGUUUUCUUUUGAGUUCUCAGGGGAGUAGACUCCCUGUGUAUCACUGACCAUGAAGCUGAACACAUGCAGUCCCAGGAGCUGCUGGCAGCCACGUGCCCACCAACAAUCAAGAGCUAAGAAUUGGGCAACAUCAUGGAAGGAAGACUGUGGGGAAAAAGAAACUGAGUCCCUGCUGAGGCUUGUUGCUUACCUGAGGCCAACCAUGCCCUUGAACUCUUCUCUUUUGUGAAGAGAUACAUUCUCUUUACUUUUAAAAAUUCAUUUUAUUGAAUCUUCUCUUCCUUGCAACCUGUAAAUAUAUUCAUAUUACAAAGUC
rnacentral:lncRNA from 1 species